CCUGUAGCUCAGCUGGAUAGAGCGCUGCCCUCCGAAGGCAGAGGCCAGGGGUUCAAAUCCCUUCAGGCG
rnacentral:tRNA from 1 species